rnacentral:rRNA from 1 species
AUGGAUAUUAGAGUGAGCAAAUAUGCCCAUAAGCUGUUUAGUAUCCAGCAAAAUGCCUUUAUUAAAGGGAGACAUAUUGUUGAUGGUAUUCUCUCCUUGCAAGAAGUGUUGCAUUAUACUCAUAUCAAAAAACAAGUGGGGGUGGUCCUUAAGCUCGAUUUUGAAAAAGUUUACGACAAAGUUAACUGGGACUUUUUGCUGGAUUGCCAUGAAAAGCGUGGGUUUAAUUCUAAGUGGUGUGGGUGGGUAUCUCAAAUCCUUAAGAAUGGCACGGUGAGUGUCAAGAUCAACGAUGAGAUAGGCCCUUAUAUUCAAAGUGCUAAAGGGGUGCGGCAAGGCGACCCUCAUUCACCCUUUCUGUUUAAUAUUGCGGCAGAAUGCCUGACAAAGAUGGUGCUCUCAGCACAAAAAAAUGGUCUCAUCAAGGGUUUGGUUGCUGAUCUUAUUGAAGGAGGAGUGGGUAUCCUUCAAUAUGCGGAUGACACGGUGGUUUGUUUUGAACAUGAUAUUGAUAAUGCUAUCAAUGUCAAACUUCUGUUAUAUCUCUUUGAGCUCAUGUCAGGAUUGAAAAUCAAUUUUCACAAAAGUGAGGUUUCCACUAUAGGAGGGGACAAUGAGAUUGACCAAAUAUAUGCAGACAUGUUUAACUGUCAAGUGGGCACACUGCCCAUGAGAUAUUUGGGUGUCCCUGUCACAUAUUCUGCUCUUAAGAACAUACAGCUGGAUUUCCUGGAGGGUAAGAUGAUUAAAAUAUUGGAUGCUUGGAUUGCUUAUGCUGUAUCAUCAGGAGCCAGGCUCACUUUGUUAGGAUCCAACUUGGAUGGGAUUCCAUCUUAUCUUAUGUCGAUGUUCCUUUUCAAUAAAACUUUUGUUGAAAAAAUGAAUAAACAUCGCAGAUGA